rnacentral:rRNA from 1 species
UGACGGUACCUGCAGAAAAAGCGCCGGCUAACUACGUGCCAGCAGCCGCGGUAAUACGUAGGGCGCAAGCGUUAUCCGGAAUUAUUGGGCGUAAAGAGCUCGUAGGCGGUUUGUCGCGUCUGCUGUGAAAUCCCGAGGCUCAACCUCGGGCCUGCAGUGGGUACGGGCAGACUAGAGUGCGGUAGGGGAGAUUGGAAUUCCUGGUGUAGCGGUGGAAUGCGCAGAUAUCAGGAGGAACACCGAUGGCGAAGGCAGAUCUCUGGGCCGUAACUGACGCUGAGGAGCGAAAGGGUGGGGAGCAAACAGGCUUAGAUACCCUGGUAGUCCACCCCGUAAACGUUGGGAACUAGUUGUGGGGACCAUU